rnacentral:rRNA from 1 species
GCAUAAGCUUGAUAAGGGCGUAUGGGGAAUGCCUAGGCUCUCAGAGGCGAUGAAGGACGUGAUAAGCUGCGAAAAGCUGCGGGGAUUGGCACAUACAAGUUGAUCCGCAGAUAUCCGAAUGGGGCAACCCGGUAUAUUGAAGAUAUAUCAUCCGCAAGGAAGCAAACCCGGAGAACUGAAACAUCUAAGUACCCGGAGGAAGAGAAAACAAUAGUGAUUGCGCUAGUAGUGGCGAGCGAACGCGCAAUAGCCCAAACCAAUAAGUUUACGGACUUAUUGGGGUUGUAGGACCACAACAUUAGAGAUUUAAUGAACUAGAACAAGUUGGAAAGCUUGGCCAUAGACGGUGACAGCCCGGUAUAGGUAAAGAGAAUUAAUAUAGUGGUAUCCUGAGUAGUGCGGGGCACGUGAAACCCUGUAUGAAUCCGGCGGGACCAUCCGCCAAGGCUAAAUACUACUGAGAGACCGAUAGUGAACCAGUACCGUGAGGGAAAGGUGAAAAGAACCCUGAACAAGGGAGUGAAAUAGAUCCUGAAACCAUACGCUUACAAGCGGUCGGAGCCUUUAGGGGUGACGGCGUGCCUUUUGCAUAAUGAGCCUACGAGUUACUUUAUCUAGCAAGGUUAAGGUGUUCAGCACUGGAUCCGUAGCGAAAGCGAGUCUUAAUAGGGCGCUAUAGUUAGGUUGAGUAGACGCGAAACCGUGUGAUCUACCCUUGGGCAGGUUGAAGCUGUGGUAACACAUAGUGGAGGACCGAACCCGUUGACGUUGAAAAGUCUUGGGAUGACCUGAGGGUAGGGGUGAAAGGCCAAUCAAACUCG